CAUUUCUAUUAUUAGAGCUAUUUGUACUAACAAUGAGUUGAAAUAGCCUUUUUUGUUAUUCGCGCUGAUUUUGUUAACCACAUUUUUAAGAGAAUGACUUUGUUAAGCUAAAGGUUGAUUUUUCAGUUUUUGAUGUCUCGAGAGGAGGAAAAAUUGGCUAAAUUGGAUGUUGCUGUUCAAGCUCACCGAAUUGAAAAGAUUGGUAAAAAUGUGCACAAUGAGUUGAAAUGGCAGGGUAAUCUUUUGGAUAAAACAAAUGUCAAUUUGGAUCAAUUUUCAAACAAUUUGGAUACUAUUUCAGUAGAUCUGAAAACAAUCCAACGAAAUGAGAGAAGUUUUUGCUACAAGUUUUUUUGCUGUUGUAAAUCAUACAAGUCUAACCAGACAAACAGGCAGUUAAACUUUUCCCCAGCAACAUUGGAAAUAUUUUCUGUAGAAAAUCAUUUGACCAAACAAGAAAUUGAUAAACUUUGGUGCAAAACAUACGAUCCAAAUGAACGCUGGCUUCAACAGAUGGAUGCACACCUUGAUAGACUAAUUGAUUUAGCUGAUCUAAUCGAUAUUAAUAUUGGACAUCAAAAAGACGUAGCCCAUUCGCUGCAGCAAAAGACUAAUUCAACCAAGCAUCGAAUGACCAAGAAUUGGAAAAAGAUGGAUGAUAUUGUUCACCACUAAACAUUGCUGAACCAUUAUAAAAUAGCUACCCAGAAGUGUAAAUUUUAAUCAAAAUGUAAUCAAAUGACAAAUAUACUUCGCCAUUGAUUAAAUUGACCUGAAGACCAACGCAGAGAUACCUUAGAUCUUAAACUUUUACAGAUGCAAAAUCGAUACCCAUUCUUCGCUUCUGUAUUGUACUGAGCGAUUUUUCAUUUUCAAUUUCGUUCUAAUUCUCAAUUCAUUUUUUUCU